AUACGUAGGGGGCUAGCGUUAUCCGGAAUUACUGGGCGUAAAGGGUGCGUAGGUGGUUUCUUAAGUCAGAAGUGAAAGGCUACGGCUCAACCGUAGUAAGCUUUUGAAACUAAGAGACUUGAGUGCAGGAGAGGAGAGUAGAAUUCCUAGUGUAGCGGUGAAAUGCGUAGAUAUUAGGAGGAAUACCAGUUGCGAAGGCGGCUCUCUGGACUGUAACUGACACUGAGGCACGAAAGCGUGGGGAGCAAACAGGAUUAGAUACCCUGGUAGUCCACGCCGUAAACGAUGAGUACUAGCUGUCGGGGUUACCCCCCUCGGUGGCGCAGCUAACGCAUUAAGUACUCCGCCUGGGAAGUACGCUCGCAAGAGUGAAACUCAAAUGAAUUGGCGGGG
rnacentral:rRNA from 1 species